rnacentral:rRNA from 1 species
UACGUAUGUGGCAAGCGUUGUUCGGAAUUAUUGGGCGUAAAGCGCGCGCAGGCGGUUUCUUAAGUCUGAUGUUAAAUCUCGUGGCUCAACCACGAGCGGCCAUUGGAAACUGGGAAACUUGAGUGCAGAAGAGAAGAGCGGAAUUCCACGUGUAGCGGUGAAAUGCGUAGAGAUGUGGAGGAACACCAGUGGCGAAGGCGGGUAACUGGACUGCAACUGACGCUGAGGCGCGAAAAGUGUGGGGAGCAAACAGGGAUUAGA